GAUGAACGCUGGCGGCGUGCCUAAUACAUGCAAGUCGAGCGAACAGAUGAGGAGCUUGCUCCUCUGACGUUAGCGGCGGACGGGUGAGUAACACGUGGAUAACCUACCUAUAAGACUGGGAUAACUUCGGGAAACCGGAGCUAAUACCGGAUAAUAUAUUGAACCGCAUGGUUCAAUAGUGAAAGACGGUUUUGCUGUCACUUAUAGAUGGAUCCGCGCCGCAUUAGCUAGUUGGUAAGGUAACGGCUUACCAAGGCAACGAUGCGUAGCCGACCUGAGAGGGUGAUCGGCCACACUGGAACUGAGACACGGUCCAGACUCCUACGGGAGGCAGCAGUAGGGAAUCUUCCGCAAUGGGCGAAAGCCUGACGGAGCUACGCCGCGUGAGUGAUGAAGGUCUUCGGAUCGUAAAACUCUGUUAUUAGGGAAGAACAAAUGUGUAAGUAACUAUGCACGUCUUGACGGUACCUAAUCAGAAAGCCACGGCUAACUACGUG
rnacentral:rRNA from 1 species